AAAUGUGAAGUGAUAUAAAUGUGAAAU
rnacentral:guide_RNA from 1 species